CAGCUGUUUUUAUAGCAUCAAAUAACUAAUAAAAAAAAAACAAGUUAUUAGAAAAAUGAACACUUGAACAAAAAUCAGCAUGAUCAGAACUACCUAAAAUGACAGAAAAUCAUCUUCGG